UCGGAGUGCUUGCACUCUGUGAAACAAGAUACAGGCUAGCGGCGGACGGGUGAGUAACACGUGGGUAACCUGCCCAAGAGAUCGGGAUAACACCUGGAAACAGAUGCUAAUACCGGAUAACAACAGAUGAUGCCUAUCAACUGUUUAAAAGAUGGUUCUGCUAUCACUCUUGGAUGGACCUGCGGUGCAUUAGCUAGUUGGUAGGGUAACGGCCUACCAAGGCGAUGAUGCAUAGCCGAGUUGAGAGACUGAUCGGCCACAUUGGGACUGAGACACGGCCCAAACUCCUACGGGAGGCAGCAGUAGGGAAUCUUCCACAAUGGACGCAAGUCUGAUGGAGCAACGCCGCGUGAGUGAAGAAGGGUUUCGGCUCGUAAAGCUCUGUUGUUGGUGAAGAAGGACAGGGGUAGUAACUGACCUUUGUUUGACGGUAAUCAAUUAGAAAGUCACGGCUAACUACGUGCCAGCAGCCGCGGUAAUACGUAGGUGGCAAGCGUUGUCCGGAUUUAUUGGGCGUAAAGCGAGUGCAGGCGGCUCGAUAAGUCUGAUGUGAAAGCCUUCGGCUCAACCGGAGAAUUGCAUCAGAAACUGUCGAGCUUGAGUACAGAAGAGGAGAGUGGAACUCCAUGUGUAGCGGUGAAAUGCGUAGAUAUAUGGAAGAACACCGGUGGCGAAGGCGGCUCUCUGGUCUGUUACUGACGCUGAGGCUCGAAAGCAUGGGUAGCGAACAGGAUUAGAUACCCUGGUAGUCCAUGCC
rnacentral:rRNA from 1 species